rnacentral:rRNA from 1 species
GUGGAUUAGAUACCCUGGUAGUCCUUGCUGUAAACGAUGGAUACUAGGUGUAGGAGGUAUCGACCCCUUCUGUGCCGCAGUUAACACAAUAAGUAUCCCACCUGGGGAGUACGGCCGCAAGGUUGAAACUCAAAGGAAUUGACGGGGGCCCGCACAAGCAGUGGAGUAUGUGGUUUAAUUCGAAGCAACGCGAAGAACCUUACCAGGGCUUGACAUCCCUUGACGACGUAAGAGAUUACGUUUCCCUUCGGGGCAAGGAGACAGGUGGUGCACGGCUGUCGUCAGCU